UACUAUGAACCACGCUAGGCCCCAGA
rnacentral:piRNA from 1 species